rnacentral:rRNA from 1 species
AUUGAACGCUGGCGGCAGGCCUAACACAUGCAAGUCGAGCGGGGUUUUCGAACCUAGCGGCGGACGGGUGAGUAAUGCGUAGGAAGCUACCCGAUAGAGGGGGAUACCAGUUGGAAACGACUGUUAAUACCGCAUAAUGUCUACGGACCAAAGUGUGGGACCUUCGGGCCACAUGCUAUCGGAUGCGCCUACGUGGGAUUAGCUAGUUGGUGAGGUAAUGGCUCACCAAGGCGACGAUCCCUAGCUGGUUUGAGAGGAUGAUCAGCCACACUGGAACUGAGACACGGUCCAGACUCCUACGGGAGGCAGCAGUGGGGAAUAUUGGACAAUGGGCGCAAGCCUGAUCCAGCCAUGCCGCGUGUGUGAAGAAGGCCUUCGGGUUGUAAAGCACUUUCAGUAGGGAGGAAGCGUUGUGUGAUAAUAGUACACAGCGUUGACGUUACCUACAGAAGAAGCACCGGCUAACCCUGUGCCAGCCGCCGCGGUAAGAC